rnacentral:rRNA from 1 species
UAAAACUUUCAACAACGGAUCUCUUGGUUCUGGCAUCGAUGAAGAACGCAGCGAAAUGCGAUAAGUAAUGUGAAUUGCAGAAUUCAGUGAAUCAUCGAAUCUUUGAACGCACAUUGCGCCCGCCAGUAUUCUGGCGGGCAUGCCUGUUCGAGCGUCA